rnacentral:rRNA from 1 species
CAGUGGCGAACGGGUGAGUAACACGUGGGCAAUCUGCCCUGCACUCUGGGACAAGCCUUGGAAACGAGGUCUAAUACCGGAUAUUACCCUUGACCGCAUGGUCUUGGGUGGAAAGCUCCGGCGGUGCAGGAUGAGCCCGCGGCCUAUCAGCUUGUUGGUGGGGUGAUGGCCUACCAAGGCGACGACGGGUAGCCGGCCUGAGAGGGCGACCGGCCACACUGGGACUGAGACACGGCCCAGACUCCUACGGGAGGCAGCAGUGGGGAAUAUUGCACAAUGGGCGAAAGCCUGAUGCAGCGACGCCGCGUGAGGGAUGAAGGCCUUCGGGUUGUAAACCUCUUUCAGCAGGGAAGAAGCGCAAGUGACGGUACCUGCAGAAGAAGCACCGGCUAACUACGUGCCAGCAGCCGCGGUAAUACGUAGGGUGCGAGCGUUGUCCGGAAUUAUUGGGCGUAAAGAGCUCGUAGGCGGCUUGUCACGUCGGAUGUGAAAGCCCGGGGCUUAACCCCGGGUCUGCAUUCGAUACGGGCAGGCUAGAGUGUGGUAGGGGAGAUCGGAAUUCCU